rnacentral:RNase_P_RNA from 1 species
UUACUAAGUCAGAUAAUCGCCAUAUAUUGGAGGAAAGUCCGUGCACCAAAGAGCAGGAUGCCAGGUAACGCCUGGUGGGGGCGACCCUAAGGCUAGUGCAACAGAAAUAUACCGCCGUAUUUCGGUAAGGUUGGAAUGGUGAGGUAAGAGCUCACCGGUCCAUAGGCAACUAUGGAGCCAUGUAAACCCCAUCCGGUGCAAAAUCAAAUAGGCUUGUUAAGUGGCUGCUCGUCACUUCCGGAAGGUAGAUUGCUAGAUUUUUCCGGCGACGGAAAAAGGAGAUAGAUGAUUAUCAAAUACAGAACACGGCUUAUAGACUUGGUCGACUG